rnacentral:rRNA from 1 species
UACGUAGGGUGCGAGCGUUAAUCGGAAUUACUGGGCGUAAAGCGUGCGCAGGCGGUUCGUUAAGUCAGAUGUGAAAGCCCCGGGCUCAACCUGGGAACUGCAUUUGAAACUGGCGGGCUUGAGUAUGGCAGAGGGGGGGUGGAAUUCCGCGUGUAGCAGUGAAAUGCGUAGAGAUGCGGAGGAACACCGAUGGCGAAGGCAGCCCCCCUGGGCCAAUACUGACGCUCAGGCACGAAAGCGUGGGGAGCAAACAGG